rnacentral:rRNA from 1 species
GACGAACGCUGGCGGCGUGCUUUACACAUGCAAGUCGAACGGAAACGCCCUUCUUUUUUGGGGUGCUCGAGUGGCGAACGGGUGAUUAACACGUGAGUAACCUGCCCUUGACUUUGGGAUAACUUCAGGUAUCUUGGUCUAAUACCGGAUCUGAGCUCCUGCUGCAUGGUGGGCGUUGGAAAGUUUCGGCGGUUGGGGCUGGACUCGCGGCUUAUAAUCUUGUUGGUGGGGUAGUGGCUUACCAAGGCUUUGACGGGUAGCCGGCCUGAGAGGGUGAACGGCCACAAUGGGACUAAGGGACGGCCCAGAGUGGUACGGGAGGCAACAGGGGGGAAUAUUGCACAGUGGGCGGAAGCCUGAUGCAGAAACGCCGCGGGCGGGAUGACGGCCUUCGGGUUGUAAACAGCUUUCGCCUGUGACGAAGCGUGAGUGACGGUAAUGGAUAAAGAAGCACCGGCUAACUACGUG